rnacentral:rRNA from 1 species
CCUUGCCUACGGGGGGCAGCAGUGGGGAAUAUUGCACAAUGGGGGAAACCCUGAUGCAGCAACGCCGCGUGAGUGAAGAAGGUUUUCGGAUUGUAAAGCUCUGUUAGCAGGGAAGAGGAAGGACGGUACCUGCAGAGGAAGCCACGGCUAACUACGUGCCAGCAGCCGCGGUAAUACGUAGGUGGCAAGCGUUGUUCGGAAUAACUGGGCGUAAAGGCUGCGUAGGCGGGUAAACAAGUUAUAUGUUAAAUAUAUAGGCUUAAACGGUAGAAAGCAUAUAAAACUGUUUAACUAGAGUGAAGGAG